AUUGAAAGCUGGCGGCAUGCCUUACACAUGCAAGUCGAACGGUAACAGGUCUUCGGAUGCUGACGAGUGGCGAACGGGUGAGUAAUACAUCGGAACGUGCCCGAUCGUGGGGGAUAACGAAGCGAAAGCUUUGCUAAUACCGCAUACGAUCUACGGAUGAAAGCAGGGGACCGCAAGGCCUUGCGCGAACGGAGCGGCCGAUGGCAGAUUAGGUAGUUGGUGGGAUAAAAGCUUACCAAGCCGACGGUCUGUAGCUGGUCUGAGAGGACGACCAGCCACACUGGGACUGAGACACGGCCCAGACUCCUACGGGAGGCAGCAGUGGGGAAUUUUGGACAAUGGGCGAAAGCCUGAUCCAGCCAUGCCGCGUGCAGGAUGAAGGCCUUCGGGUUGUAAACUGCUUUUGUACGGAACGAAAGGACUCUGGUUAAUACCUGGGGUCCAUGACGGUACCGUAAGAAUAAGCACCGGCUAACUACGUGCCAGCCGCCGCAGUAAAAC
rnacentral:rRNA from 1 species